GACGAACGCUGGCGGCGUGCUUAACACAUGCAAGUCGAGCGGUAAGGCCCUUUCGGGGGUACACGAGCGGCGAACGGGUGAGUAACACGUGGGUGACCUGCUUCUAGCUCUGGGAUAAGCCUGGGAAACUGGGUCUAAUACCGGAUAUGACUCCACGGCGCAUGUUGUGGGGUGGAAAGCCUUGUGUGGCUAGAGAUGGGCCCGCGGCCUAUCAGCUUGUUGGUGGGGNGAUGGCCUACCAAGGCGACGACGGGUAGCCGGCCUGAGAGGGCGACCGGCCACACUGGGACUGAGACACGGCCCAGACUCCUACGGGAGGCAGCAGUGGGGGAUUUUGCACAAUGGACGAAAGUCUGAUGCAGUGACGCCGCGUGGGGAUGACGGCCU
rnacentral:rRNA from 1 species